rnacentral:rRNA from 1 species
ACCAGACUCCUACGGGAGGCAGCAGUGGGGAAUAUUGCACAAUGGGGGAAACCCUGAUGCAGCAACGCCGCGUGAGUGAAGAAGUAUUUCGGUAUGUAAAGCUCUAUCAGCAGGGAAGAAGAUGACGGUACCUGAGUAAGAAGCCCCGGCUAACUACGUGCCAGCAGCCGCGGUAAUACGUAGGGGGCAAGCGUUAUCCGGAUUUACUGGGUGUAAAGGGAGCGUAGACGGUGAGACAAGUCUGAAGUGAAAGCCCGGGGCUCAACCCCGGGACUGCUUUGGAAACUGCCUGACUGGAGUGCUGGAGAGGCAAGCGGAAUUCCUAGUGUAGCGGUGAAAUGCGUAGAUAUUAGGAGGAACACCAGUGGCGAAGGCGUCUUACUGGACCGAAACUGACGUUGAGGCUCGAAAGCGUGGGGAGCAAACAGGAUUAGAUACCCCAGUA